rnacentral:rRNA from 1 species
UCAAACCUAUUUAUAAUGGCGGCAUUUUAUCUUAUUAGAGGAACCUGUUUUUUAAUCGAUAAUCCACGUUAAAUUUCACUUAAAUUGAAAAUUUAUAUACCGCCAUCUAAAAAACUAAUUUAAUAAUAAUAUUUAAAAAAAUAAAUAAAAAGUUAGGUCAAGGUGUAAUCAAUAUUUAAGUAAAUAAUGGGUUACAUUAAAAUAAAUUUAAGGACUUUUUUAUAAAAAUAUCUUUCGAAAUAGGAUUUAAAAGUAAUAAUUAAAUAAUAAUAUAUUUGUG